GGUUCUACGGUGUAAUGGUUAGCAUUCUGUACUCUGAAACCAGCGAUCUGUGUUCAAAUCUCAGUAGGACCU